CUCAACCCAAUGGUUUGGAUCUCUCCCAAUUGCCCAUGCAUUGAUAAUGACCCUGGUCUUUGAAGGUAUCUCAAAUCCAUUAAUCUCGCAGUUUUGGCUACAUUCUCUUGGAAGCAAUAAAGGGAAAACAGGGUGCAGUCUCAAGGUUUCUUUUAUAACACACUUUAGAUAUUUAAGUUGAUGAAUGCCUGUUUCAUCUACAUUUCCUUUGCCUUGGAAUACCUGCCUUACCUCUGCUUGUGCUUUUGUCAUAACUCUAGGGUUUUUAAUCAUUUCUGACAUUGCCCAUUCUACAACCGAUGCUGAUGUCUCACUUCCACC
rnacentral:lncRNA from 1 species